UCAUCACGUCCUAAAAGAAAAGCAGCUAUACAGGGUGCUGCCAAAAUUCACCAAAUUUUGGCUGAAUCUGAUUAGGGAUUUUUCAUUACUGUUAAUAUUGUUUUAUUUGGAUUCUUUUGGUUGGUUUUUAUUUUUGGGUAAUUUUCAUGUAAAUACAUUUACAUUAUAUACUUUUGAUUUCAUACUAAAUCAAAAUCUCUCCCCUGGAGUGUAGAAAAAUAUGUAUUUAAUUCCUUCAAUUUUACUAGUUAAAAAAAAAAUAUGCAUUAUCACUACGGCAUCAGUAUUAAAGUACUUUACCUAUGUAAUUACUUAACUAGUCAAUUUUAAAAUGAACGUAAUUUUCAUAAAUAGCUUUUCUCGUCUAAUCCUUUUAAACGGUUAUUGCCGUAAACAAACCACCAAUUUUAAUGCGGAAAAUGUUUUCUUGGUUUACUGAGUGACGGAGAACCGGCAGUACCUGUCAAGAACUUAACAACAGCAGUCUUCAGCAGAAGUUCCAGUCAUACUUACCGUGGAUUAAACUUUGAAGUGAUUUAGUGACAUAUGGAUCUUAUCAUUUGCAUCACGGUCAUGUGUUACGCAAAUAUGGAAUAAUUCUAUCAAGUUACCAUUGGACCCGGACCUGCCAAAGGGGAACCCGCUUACCUAUCUCCUAAAUCACACUAAAAACAAGAUGUGUUUGUAUACUUUCGGAUUCAUUUCAUUGGCCUCCGGAUGAUGCAGCCCAAGUACUCACUUCCUAUCCUUAUGGUUCACGUCAAGUGUUUGUUUGUCAUUCAGAAGUUUAUUUUUGUGGUUCGAUGAUAUACAUUACAAUUAAAUUCAUUGUAACUUA